rnacentral:rRNA from 1 species
AGAGUUUGAUUCUGGCUCAGGAUGAACGCUAGCUACAGGCUUAACACAUGCAAGUCGAGGGGCAGCAUGAAACUUAGCUUGCUAAGUUUGAUGGCGACCGGCGCACGGGUGAGUAACACGUAUCCAACCUACCGUUUACUACGGGAUAGCCUUCUGAAAAGGAGAUUAAUACCGUAUGGUAUUCUAAAGUUUCAUGACAUUAGAAUUAAAGGUUUACCGGUAAUCGAUGGGGAUGCGUUCCAUUAGAUAGUAGGCGGGGUAACGGCCCACCUAGUCAGCGAUGGAUAGGGGUUCUGAGAGGAAGGUCCCCCACAUUGGAACUGAGACACGGUCCAAACUCCUACGGGAGGCAGCAGUGAGGAAUAUUGGUCAAUGGGCGAGAGCCUGAACCAGCCAAAGUAGCGUGAAGGAUGACUGCCCUAUGGGUUGUAAACUUCUUUUAUAAAGGAAUAAAGUGGUCCACGUGUGGAUUUUUGUAUGUACUUUAUGAAUAAGGAUCGGCUAACUCCGUGCCAGCCGCCGC